GUUUUUGAAACAGGGACAGAGGGACCUUUGCCCUGCUUUCAGUCAGGAAAAACAAGACGAGUAUAAAUAGGAGGAGCCGUGAGGGAGCGGGUUGUUUUCGUCUAGAACCAGCUACGAAAGUAUCUCUGCUGAAGUCUCUCAAGUAAAACAAGUUAGUGGGUCUGUUGUUUGGAGUCAUGUGGAAGGCACUCAGCCUUACCCUGGCUCUCUGCCUGCUGGUGGGCUGCAGUGCAGAGAGCGAAACAGACGGAGCCCGCUGCAAACUUCCUCCCGUGUGGAAGAUCGGAGAGGAGGAGCCCAUGAAGAACGCUCUUGGACAUGUGACGGUGGUGGCUUACCUCCAGGCCAGCUGAUUGUUCUGCUUAGAGCAAGCAUCGAAGCUCAAUGACUUGCUCCUGAAGUUUGAGAACCAAGGUUACGUGAAUAUAAACUACAUGGUGGUAAACAACCGAGACGAAAGAUCCCAGCAGCUGCACCACUUGCUCAAAGAAAGACUGAUGAAUAUCACCCUCUACGCCCAAGACCUCAGUCAGCCAGAUGUCUGGCAGGCAGUAAAUGUUGAGAAGGAUGACAUCUUGGUCUAUGACAGGUGUGGCCGACUCACUUACCAUCUGUCUCUUCCCUACACCAUCCUGAGCCACCCACAUGUGGAGGAGGCCAUAAGACGUACUUAUUGUGAUGGUGUUUGUGGAGAAUGCAGCAUUGAGAGUUCACUGCAACUUGAACAGUGCAAGAAAUCCACAGAUGAGAAUACACCAACAGAGGGAGAACAGCAUCAUCAGCACGAACAUCACGGUCAUCAUGGACAUGGUCACGAAGGGCAUCAACCCGACGGCGUGGAGAGGCACAGGCAUCAUCCUCACCAUCACCACCAUCACCACCACGGCCAACAACAGGUUGAUAUGGGUCAGCAGAUCCUGACCCAGGUUGACUUUGGUCAGGCAGCCGUUGAGCCACCAAUCAUGAAACGGCCUUGAGCUAAGCACACUAGGUGAAAAGUUCAGUACAGCUGACAGCAGGGGGCAGACGCUCCAGCCACCAGCUGAUGCUGACACUGACGACAGCUCUUUGGCGACAGCAACGGGCGUGUGGCAGGCCUCUGACACUGUGAGGGGGCUCUUCCAGCCUCCUGACACUGACAGGGCCUGAAGGAGGACAACCACAUCAGGGAGACCUGACAGUGACGUCCCGCCCCACAAGCUGAAUGAGAGCUGUCGCAAAAACCCUGAGCCUGACCAGCAGGGGACGCGAGUUGAGUAUGACAGGAGAAGUAAACAGGGCCAUUGGCUUUGUAACAAUCUUGUCUGAUCAUUUAUAGCUUCACGUAAACAUCAGUGAACCCCGUAUUGCUGGUCAAUGCUCUCGGUUAAUCUUACCAACUAGUAUUUCACACCUCAGCGUUUGGCAGCACUGGACUUUAGCAUCCCAUUCGGAACAAUUAGCAAAUUGGUUAUUGUUAGAAGGAAGAUAAAUCAUUCAGGAACAUCUAAAUGACAAAAUGUGCUCUAGAUUUGGAUAUUUUUUUGGUUACAUCAAACAAACUUUAAUGGGUCCAGUGUCUGUUUGCUUCUGAGAGUGUGUUAGGUUCAUCAUGUUAGUGUCUUUUCACCUCUAGAUGCUUUAUGUGGCCUUUAUGAAGGCAGGUGCGGAAACUAUGCACUAGUGGUGCCUGUUUGAUGUUAGGCCACACAGAGCAGAGGGCAAAGGUCACGUAACGUCCUGUAACCCUUGCUAUACCCAAUCAAAGCUAUCCUAUAUGAAAAUCUGGGGUAUUAAAAUCUUUUUUUUUUUGCUCUGGUAUUCAGUAAAUUGUUUUAGUUUUGCCGUGUGUAGAUGGAGGUGGUAAAGUAGGCAGAGAGAUUCUGAUUUUAAAAGUUUCUUCUUAAAGACCAAACACUGUUGAAUUAUCUAGAAAAUAUAUCUGUAUUCUUCUAGUUACUAGAGCAGAUUUUGUAAGGGGAUUGUAAAAUGCAUUUCAUAUUUGGCAUUACAAAAAUGUUAAUGGAUCAUAGGGAAAUGCACACAAAUUGUGAUUUUUUACUGCACAUUUAUUAGAGUGGAAUUUGUAUCCAAGGGGGUAAUUGGAAAAAGGUUAAGUUGUUGUUAUCUUGGGAAAGAUUGUUUGAAACAUUGUACAUACUUAAUGAAGGUUUUCUGGAAAAUCUAGUAUCACCUGGAAGACCUGAGAAACUGUAUGAAAAAAUGUAUGCUGUGGUGCCAGUUACAUAUGAAUGUAAAACGCAUGAGAAAUGUAAGACAGAAAAAUACAUGUUACUCAGAUCAACUCAAAUAAAAAAAAUAAAAAACCUUAA